AGUGAACGCUGGCGGUAGGCCUAACACAUGCAAGUCGAACGGCAGCACAGUAAGAGCUUGCUCUUACGGGUGGCGAGUGGCGGACGGGUGAGGAAUACAUCGGAAUCUACUUUUUCGUGGGGGAUAACGUAGGGAAACUUACGCUAAUACCGCAUACGACCUACGGGUGAAAGCAGGGGAUCUUCGGACCUUGCGCGAUUGAAUGAGCCGAUGUCGGAUUAGCUAGUUGGCGGGGUAAAGGCCCACCAAGGCGACGAUCCGUAGCUGGUCUGAGAGGAUGAUCAGCCACACUGGAACUGAGACACGGUCCAGAAUCCUACGGGAGGCAGCAGUGGGGAAUAUUGGACAAUGGGCGCAAGCCUGAUACAGCCAUACCGCGUGGGUGAAGAAGGCCUUCGGGUUGUAAAGCCCUUUUGUUGGGAAAGAAAAGCAGCAGGUUAAUACCCCGCUGUUCUGACGGUACCCAAAGAAUAAGCACCGGCUAACUUCGUG
rnacentral:rRNA from 1 species